UGCUGUAUUUUUCACAGUAAAAUACCACAAAAUGCCCAGUAACUUACUUGAAAACAUUUCUACAGUUAAUUACUGUAAUUUGCUAUGCAUUAUGGGUAUAUUAAGGUUAUUUACAGUAACUUACUGUAUUUUUUAAAAUUGCGGUAGUAGUUAUACCUACCGUUAACACAUUAGCAGUAGUGCUACUGUAUUAUGUGGUUUGAAUGGUUCAUCAUACUGUUUGUGUAUUUUUACUCUUUCAGUGGUUGGUUGCAAUAGUGCAUUACAUUUUAACUCUUUCACUGCUAACCAUUUCCAGAUUUUCCUCCAACCUAUGCCAUUUGUCAGUAUGAUACCAGUGAAAGUAUUAUGGUUUUGACUUUUUAGGGGACUUGCCUGUGUGUAAGGUCUCCUUGUAGGGAAAUUUUAUAAAGCAAGGUUCUCCAAAUCUCUCCCAAAAUUCUGUGUUUUCUUAAUUGACUUCCAUUCCUAUGUAAAGACUAUAAGGUUAAGUACAAAUAAAAAAAAGCAGAAUUCACAUUGUUGCAUCUCCAUCACUUAUCUCUGAUUAACCCUGAACAAGAUUCACACUUCCUUUUGUUAAUUUUUUUACUUGCCACUAUUCUGUUGUUGGAUUUCACUUAGGCUGUUGCUGCUGUCUGUUUUUGUGUAAUUUUGUACUUGUGACAAGUAGUGAAUAAAGUUAUUUAAAAAAGACGCAGAAAGGCGAACUUCAGUCAGUGGAGAAUAUUGUAAUAAUUUGGCGGAGGCUUCUCAGUGGAGCAGUAACUGAAUUGCUCAUUUACUGAACGUGCAACAUGUACAGAACUCUUCUGGGAACUAGUCAACCCAACUUAGUGAAACACACACUGAAUGCAUGCUGGCCCCGCCCACCUACCUACCUCUACCAACCACCACUCCAUAUCCUGACUGACAUGACCUGUGAUCCAGUGAUUGACAGGAGAGGAAAGACAGGCCAACUUUGUUAGCUCUUCGUUAGGAUAUGCUCGAGAGGACAAAAGAUUUUGCACCUCGUUAUUGUUGGACCUCUGUGUGGAAACUGCAAACAGGACGCCAUAAGUGUGGUGCAUUGCUGUCCUCCUGCCCUUGCUGGCCGCGCUGACAGUGUGAUGUAGCCUCAGUUCUUUGAGAGACAAGACAAAACAGCAGGGAAUAAUUUCAUGUCUGCAAGCCGCUGGAUGAUCAGUUUGGAGGGCAAGGUAUUGAGCCUGAGCAGAUGCAUGACUUUGGCAGCACCUUUGCUGUCUUCUUUGCGUCAUACUACGUUUUCAACCUUGAGUAUCAGGAGUCAGCGUCCAUCACACUGGAGAUGAUACAGAGGUUCUUUGUGAGGAUCAAUCCAGACAUGGGAACAAAAUGCCCUGCAAAACUUGGUACAAGCCGCAAGACAGGUCGUGUCGUAAAGAGGAAGGUUACAAGCAUCAGCCCUCGGAUCACCACCUUCCUCCAGCGGCUCUCUGGAGGACUUCCAACUAGGUGGUGAUGAAGACUACGCUGAACCCGACCAUCCUGGUAACGGAAAUCUAAAUCCCAUGUCACAUUCUGUUUCCUGGGACCCACUGAUAAUUAUUACAUUUUGUAAAUGAUUUUUGUUUUACAAGUGUAAUAGUUUAUUUAAUGUUCAUGCUCGUGGGUUUGUCCUGUUUUUAGUGGAAUGAAAAACUGUUUUCCUUAAAAAAAUCAGACACAGAAAGGUGAAGGACUGUGUAGUUUUCAUGUACGCUUCUAUUUAUUUUGGUUAUUGACAUUGUUUUUAUUCAGUCGAAAAAUGUUUUUCUUGUUAAAAAAAAUUAUCAACAAUAAAUGUUGGUUUAAUUCACUAUUCUGAGACUA